AAGCCGCGAGGCUAAGCCAAUCCCACAAAUCUGUUCUCAGUUCGGAUCGCAGUCUGCAACUCGACUGCGUGAAGCUGGAAUCGCUAGUAAUCGCGGAUCAGCAUGCCGCGGUGAAUACGUUCCCGGGCCUUGUACACACCGCCCGUCACACCACGAGAGUUUGUAACACCCGAAGUCGGUGAGGUAACCUUUUGGAGCCAGCCGCCGAAGGUGGGACAGAUGAUUGGGGUGAAGUCGUAACAAGGUAGCCGUAUCGGAAGGUGCGGCUGGAUCACCUCCUUUCUAAGGAUAUUAUACGGAA
rnacentral:rRNA from 1 species